GUGAGGAAUAUUGCGCAAUGGGGGCAACCCUGACGCAGUGACGCCGCGUGAGUGAUGAAGGCUUUCGAGUUGUAAAGCUCUGUUAGGUGGAAAGAAACACUCCAGCGCUAAUAUCGCUGGGGCUUGACGGUACCACCAGAGGAAGCACCGGCUAACUCCGUGCCAGCAGCCGCGGUAAUACGGAGGGUGCAAGCGUUGUUCGGAUUUACUGGGCGUAAAGGGCGUGUAGGCGGUUGGCUAAGUCAGAUGUGAAAGCCCUUGGCUUAACCAAGGAAGAGCAUUUGAAACUGGCUAACUAGAGUACAGGAGAGGAAAGUGGAAUUCCCAGUGUAGAGGUGAAAUUCAUAGAUAUUGGGAGGAACACCGGUAGCGAAGGCGGCUUUCUGGUCUGAUACUGACGCUGAGACGCGAAAGCGUGGGGAGCAAACAGGAUUAGAUACCCCAGUAGUCC
rnacentral:rRNA from 1 species